UCUUCCGGGGAAACGCCACCUAAACACACACUGAGCAGUUUUUAUACGCCUCUAGUGCAAUUCCUGUGCCAGUUUGCUCUUAGAUUUAGAGCUUUUGGCUUUACCAGUGUUACAGGGAAUUCUUAAUUACAACGUAAAAUACUGAACUUACUAAGUCUGGUCUCGUCCACUCUCCCCUCUGCGUCCAUAACACCGGGCAGAUUCACGCGCUGGCAAGCGGACGUGGGUGACGUCACAGGGGCGACACGUGACACGUGUGGCAUCUCGCUGUCAGUUGGCAGUGAGUUCCCCGUCUGAGAAAUGCAACUUACUCUGUCUGUGUUUUCUUCCCACGCGGAGCCGAAGGUAAUUUCCCCCACAAGCGGAGACGCAUAAAUGGGAGAAAACCUGAGAAUGUAGAGGAAUCCACACGGAUAUGGGAAGACCAUGCAAAGAAACUACACAAAUGGCAACCUGAGGUCAGGAUUAACAAACUGAAUUGUAGUAAGCUGUCUGUACAGGAAUAAUGCUUGAUGCACCACACUGUAGACUUUUUGGCCAACUCUUCUUCAUCGCUUCAGUUCAUCGAUGUCUUAGAGCAUUCAUUUAUGCACAGCUUUCUUAAGAUCCCACCACGGCAUCUCAAUGGGAUUGGGGCCUGGACAUUGACUUGGGCACCAAGUGGCCAUCAGCUUGAUUUUUUAUUCCUUAGCCAUUUAGAUGUUGAUUUGCUUGUGUGCUUGACCCAUUUUUCAAAUGUUCUCCAUUAUGUUCUCAUCAAUUUAAAGGAUAUUGCUCCAGAAUUUCUGUGGUUUGUUCAGAUGCUAUUUUGCAAACAUAAGUUGUGCUGCCAUACCUGCAAAACCGUUAUCAAAAAAUAGCUAAGAAUCAUCUUUUUUAUACAUCUUUAUUGUCUGUUAUAAAAAAAAUUCUGUAAUUAUAUUUCAUGAUCUACUGUAUAUACAGUACGCAGCAUCAUUCCAAUGGUAGAGGGGGGCAGGUUGGGAAUCUCUUAGAUUAACACUUAACAGACAAGAAUUACCCCUGUCAAUAUACAUCUCUUUGUUUGCCAAAUAAUUUGUAAUAGUAAUAGAAAUACAAACUACAAAGUAAUAUUUGACAGUAGUUUUUAGAGUUUAUUUUUGAUAGAUAUAUUUAUGGUACAUGGAAUGGAUUUUUUAAACAAACUGAAUUGUAGUAAGCUGUCUGUACAGAGAGAUGAAUUCAGAGAUGAAUUUACUAGUGAAUGAUGCUGCUUAACAGUUUUGAAACAUUCAUUCAUUCAUUCAUUUUCUACCGCUUAUCCGAACUUCUCGGGUCACGGGGAGCCUGUGCCUAUCUCAGGUGUCAUCGGGCAUCAAGGCAGGAUACACCCUGGACAGAGCGCCAA